UGCGCAGGCGGCUUACUAAGUCAGUGGUGAAAUCUUGCGGCUUAACCGUAAAACUGCCAUUGACACUGGUAGGCUUGAAUUCAGUUGAGGUUGGCGGAAUGUGUAAUGUAGCGGUGAAAUGCUUAGAUAUUACACAGAACACCGAUUGCGAAGGCAGCUAGCUAAACUGAUAUUGACGCUGAGGCACGAAAGCGUGGGGAGCGAACAGGAUUAGAUACCCUGGUAGUCC
rnacentral:rRNA from 1 species